UACGUAGGUCCCGAGUGUUGUCCGGAUUUAUUGGGCGUAAAGCGAGCGCAGGUGGUUUAUUAAGUCUGGUGUAAAAGGCAGUGGCUCAACCAUUGUAUGCAUUGGAAACUGGUAGACUUGAGUGCAGGAGAGGAGAGUGGAAUUCCAUGUGUAGCGGUGAAAUGCGUAGAUAUACGGAGGAACACCGGUGGCGAAAGCGGCUCUCUGGCCUGUAACUGACACUGAGGCUCGAAAGCGUGGGGAGCAAACAGG
rnacentral:rRNA from 1 species